AGUGUGCAUCUGUGACUGCAAACUCCAUUGGAACAGGAAGCUGCUAUCAGCAAUCAAUAUACUGCAGUGCAGUUUAUAAUCAUCUCGCCGUUCUUAAUUGAUAUUGACAUGACUUUCAACUUGGUUCAUUGGUGCCGUGAAUUGCCAAAGCGAAAGCCCACUCUCCCACUCCUGCUUUGGGCUGACAUUCUGAUGAAAUCCUCAGAGAGGCCUGUCUCAACUACACUCCUGCGCCGGGUCCUGCUGUGGUAGCAAAUUACUGGGCCUACCACUGGGUGUAUAGUGUUACCCACUAGUGGUGAUCACCGUUGUCCUCAGGUUUGUCUCGACUGCAAAAAAGCAAAAUAAGAAGCUUUAUUCUCAUAUAACUAAAAACAGCAAAAUAAAUAGCCUAAUGGAAAUAAAGUGAUUAGAAGAAAACGUAUAACAACUAUCUGCUUUAUUUUUAAAGUAACA